rnacentral:misc_RNA from 1 species
UGGAUGUGGGGGUUGCAGGUCCACUACCGUGGUCUGCUCCUCUGAAAUGUAUUAGUGGGUUAGGCCCCUAAUCUAUUGGUGUGAUAAUUAUCUACGCCGUGGAUUGGAUGGCUAAUAUAGACCUGCUUCUAACCGUCCUUUACUGGACAACUCUUGACAAUUUUGACCUCAAAUCAGGUAAGACUACCCGCUGAACUUAA